rnacentral:tRNA from 1 species
GCGGGUGUGGCGAAACUGGCAGACGCACUGGAUUCAGGUUCCAGCGUUUAAUAACGUGCAGGUUCGAGUCCUGUCACCCGCACCA